rnacentral:tRNA from 10 species
GCCUAGGUAGCUCAGUCGGUAGAGCAGAGGACUGAAAAUCCUCGUGUCGGCAGUUCGAUUCUGCCCCUGGGCACCA